GGUCAAGCUACAAAGGGCUCACGGUGGAUACCUU
rnacentral:rRNA from 2 species